AGAUAAAUCACAUUUUUACUGGACUGAUGGGACCCAAAAGUCAUGGCUGAAUGAGAGCCAUUUUUCUGAAGGAGUGAGAAGAUGGUUGGCACACUUGAUCUUUCCUCUCACUAAAAGGAUAAACAGUGUUGAUGCUCACUGGAAAGCUUGAGUUGCCAUGUUCUUCUUGGACAUUAUGGAGUUGUCUAAUUAAGG